UACAGAGGUCCCGAGCGUUGUUCGGAUUCACUGGGCGUAAAAGGGUGCGUAGGUGGCUUGACAAGUUUGAUGUGAAAUCUCCGGGCUUAAACCCGGGAAAAUGCAUUGAAUACUGUAGAGGCUUGAGGUUUGGAGGGGGACUGGAAUUCUCGGUGUAGCAGUGAAAUGCGUAGAUAUCGAGAGGAACACCAGUGGCGAAGGCGAGUCCCUGGACAACACCUGACACUGAGGCACGAAAGCCGGGGGAGCAAACAGG
rnacentral:rRNA from 1 species